rnacentral:misc_RNA from 1 species
AACAAGGCGUACCUGCGGACCUGCGGAGGGAUCAUUACCGAGUUUACAACUCCCAAACCCCUGUGAACAUACCAAUUGUUGCCUCGGCGGAUCAGCCCGCUCCCGGUAAAACGGGACGGCCCGCCAGAGGACCCCUAAACUCUGUUUCUAUAUGUAACUUCUGAGUAAAACCAUAAAUAAAUCAAAACUUUCAGCAAUGGAUCU